AAUCGAAGCAGUGAACUUAAGCCCCAGUAAACGGCGGCCGUAACUAUAACGGUCCUAAGGUAGCGAAAUUCCUUGUCGGGUAAGUUCCGACCCGCACGAAAGGCGUAACGAUUUGGGCACUGUCUCAACAACAGACUCGGUGAAAUUGUAAUUCCGGUGAAGAUGCCGGAUACCUGCGACAGGACGGAAAGACCCCAUGGAGCUUUACUGUAGCUUGACAUUGGGUCUUGGUACUACAUGUACAGGAUAGGUGGGAGGCUUUGAAACC
rnacentral:rRNA from 1 species